rnacentral:rRNA from 1 species
CCUACGGGAGGCAGCAGUGGGGGAUAUUGCACAAUGGAGGAAACUCUGAUGCAGCGACGCAGCGUGUAGGAAGACGGUCCUCUGGGUUGUAAACCACUGUCAGCAGGGACGAAGAUGACGGUACCUGGGGAGGAAGCUCCGGCUAACUACGUACCAGCAGCCGCGGUAAUACGUAGGGAGCGAGCGUUGUCCGGAAUUACUGGGUGGAAAGGGAGCGUAGGCGGGACUGCAGGCUGGGUGUCAAAUCUACCGGCUCAACCGGUAGCCGCACUUAAAACUGCAGUUCUUGAGUGAAGUAGAGGCAGGCGGAAUUCAUAGGGUAGCGGUGAAAUGCGUAGAUAUUAGGAGGAACACCAGUGGCGAAGGCGGGCUGCUGGGCUUUUACUGACGCUGAGGCUCGAAAGUGUGGGGAGCAAACAGGAUUAGAUACCCCGGUAGUC